GACGAACGCUGGCGGCGUGCCUAAUACAUGCAAGUCGAACGCAGUGGGGACGGGUGAGUAACACGUGGGUAACCUCCCAUCAGAGGGGAUAACACUUGGAAACAGGUGCUAAACCGAUACUGAUGGAUGGACCCGCGGUGCAUUAGCUAGUUGGUGAGGUAACGGCUUACCAAGGACACGAUGCAUAGCCGCCCGUGGGGGGGAACGGGCCAACUUGGGAGUGAGACAGGCCCGAACCCCUACGGGGGGACAGAGUAGGGAACUUUCGGAAAUGGGCGAAAGGUUGCCCCGGGAAGCCCCGGGUGGGUAAAAAGGUUUUGGGAUGGAAAAACUUGUUUGUUAGGGAAACGGUAUUUAACCAGAAAGGCACGGCUAACUACGUGCCAGCAGCCGCGGUAAUUC
rnacentral:rRNA from 1 species